AAUGAGACAAGUAUGAGAAUCUUGUCUUUAACAUUAAAUGAAGAUUAAAUGAAGAAAGUUUGGUCAACCAUAUUGUAUUGAUGACAGAGAAAAAGAGUCAAUGGCAGUUAAUCAGAAGUUUGUUUUGGAUUAAAUCGAUUGAUUAAUCGAUUUCGAGCUUGCUCUUUGUUUGUUUAAAGAAUCGAUUGGGGAAUCGAUUGGGUUAGCCCAGACUUCAGAUGUUUUGGAAAAUAUUUUGUAAAAAUCCCGAGCAUCGAUUUGGAAAUCGAUUGAUUAAG
rnacentral:lncRNA from 1 species